UAUUCCUGUCUUGGAAUUUUGGAAGUUCAAACUAUUCUAGUUUGUCCAUAGACUUAUUUUUUUUUUUUUUUUAAUUCUCUAAGUAUUUUAUAUGCACUCAGUCUUUCUCAGAUUCUUGUAGGUCCUUUCCCAUAGGUGAACCCUUACUUGCCUGUAAUCCCGAAGGAAUCUAGUGACUUUAAAGCCUUUCAUUAAGCACUAGUUAGGAGUUCUGUGUUCAGUUUUGGGUGUUUUGUUUUUUUCAUGUACACAAGCGAUCUGCCUAGUGUUAAUAGGACUUGGUAUCUGAGUGCUACUGUCUCAUGAACAUGUUUCAUUUUUCCAGAUUUCAAAAGCUUGUAUAGAAUAUCUAGGAUAAGCAUCUAUAGUAAAAAAUGAUACAUGUAUAUUAAAUAAAAGCAGACAGGUUCUUAUUUCUGACCCAUAGCAUGGCUCAACUCACCACUCUGAAGCUCUCUUCUCCUAUUAGAACCAGAGUAGCUGACUCCAGGCUGUUUUUUGGGAGCAGCCUGUGACAUAUGAUCCCCAUGGCAGUGCCAAGCAGCAUUUGGGAGAGGUUAAUUUGCAUGAGUGAAAAUCCAGCCGAAAAGCGUGCUAGUUGUGAAAUGCUAUGGGGUAAUCACUGUGUUCUCUCCAUUUUAUUUUCUUGCAUAAUAUGGCCAUAUAAAGGAAUCUGGCAAUAGCAAGCCUGGUAACACUUAAGGAUGCCAUACAUAAAAGCUGAAUUCUCAAGAUGGUAUGUGGCUAACUGCUUUUAUUAAAUGAGCAUUUAAUUUGUAUUAAAGUAUCCUUAUCAAGAAUAUCAAUGCUUCAUCAUGACUGCUCUAGUAUUUUGGGAGUUUUCCAUUUAAAUGUAUAUAGCAGAAUUUUAACCUUAUCUUGUUUGUGAACAUCAUAGGAGUUGGCAUUUUCAGUUUCUUACUGAAUAAUAAUUGACUUACUGAAUAGGUAAAGUCUGCUACUGUUUGUGAAGGAGAAUUGGGGAAGAAAAAAAUCUGGUUAGAUACUGCUGAGGGAAUGACUGAGUCAUGAGGUAUAAAGCCACUUAAAUGGCACUGUGUGAUACAGUGGGAAGAGAUUUGGGUAUUUCCUGCAUGCAGGUACUGAGUGUGAAGGUAGUUGAAGUUCAGCUGGUAUGUCAGCACUGAUAGCUUUACUCCCUUUUGGAAAGAAUGGCUUAAGGUGUAGCUUCUUUUCCAUAGCGGUUGUUUUCCAAAAUGCUUGGAAAAUAGAAGUAGAAAAAUAGUUACUGUUUUGCCUGACUUUUGUCUCUCCUUCUACUCUUCAACAGUCUUACGGAAAUGUAAGAAAGAAAUGAAAAGCAGCAGUUCUGGAUAAAACAUGCCACGAUAUUGCUGUUCAGCCCUCCCAAAUACUGCAGGCUAAUUUGGAUUCCAAAUGUAUUUCUGUUCCAAUCAAAUCUCCCUUGCAUUUAGAUGUAGAUUGACUGUAGAUCUACUUUGUCUGGGAAGUCUGGCUGUGUUUUUUUAACUAACGUAAAUAAAACACCUUUGAUUACUGUAGGAUGUCUUGUUUACUUGGGCCUUUGUGUAAGAGUUGCUCAAGUCUCUUAGAACUGGAAGACCUAAAAUUUAGAUCCUAGAUCAGUAAGAUCAAAUAGGUAAAAUUCUAAUAGUAAGCAUGGAAAGUUAAACCCGCUAAUUCCUAGUGUGAUCACUUUACAUCCGUGUGUUAGGUGAGGGCAGGACUGCAAUGCUAGUGUGCUAAUCAGCCUCCUCCAUUGCUGUCCUAUUGUUGCUGGCUUGCAGAGCUGGAUGGAGAAGCAUUCUGGGGGUUUAGAUUCCAAAGUUAACAAAAUAGGCAUCAAAAGUAGCUGGUAUGUGAAUAUUGCAUCCUUUGCUUUCAUAGAGCACACCUCUGCUGGAAGCUUUUAUUUCCAUGUGAGCAAACGGUAGGGGUAACACAAAGUCUCUAUUUUGGAGUCAGGAGCUUACUUUUCUUCAGUGGCAAUGCAGGGAGUCUGGUAUUAAGAGUUGAAAUGGAGACUGAAAUGCUUCUCAUUUGUAGCUUUUGCUAGCUCCUGAAGGCAAUAUCAAGAUGAAGGAUGAUUUGUGAUUCCACACGCUCCCUGAGCAGAGAAAUGUAUUAAUGACAUUGUUUAUGCAGCAAUGAAAGUCACGGGUCAACUGUUACUGUGAAAUCAAGGGGAGAGAAUCUGUACUUCGCCUUUUAAGGAGCAAGCCUAUGUGAGCUAUGUUUCAUUGUACCUAUAGCUUUCACCUGUAAAGGUUUUCGGGCAUUACCUCUGUAUUGCUUUAAUACUCCCCCUUUACAAAACCAAGGAUCUUCUCUUCUAAUUCUCCCGGCAUUCAAGGCCUGUGCUUUAAUACUAUGUAGAGAGGUAUGUACCUGGCUGGAAGCACUGUUUUAAGGCUAUGAACAGGAAUCUUUUCAUAACGCUAUUCAGCAUGCUGUCUUUCUAUCUAUGAAUAUUUUAGUUGUGAACUGCAAAAAUAGGUUUGUGGGGUGUGGCCAAAAGGAUGAGGAUGUGGAGCACAUGCUGGGAAUUUCCCAGCAACUGACAUAUGAAUUUGUUCUGGUCACCAGGGGUUUAGAAUCACUUCCCCAAGGGUUUGCCGCUCUCAGAAUUUUGCUGGGACAGUAGGGCUGCAUUAUGAUAGCUGUAGGUUUUUACUCAUAUUUUUCUACUGUUCUGUUUUUGCUGCUGGUAGUCACUAUUAGCCAUUGCUUGGGAUUGAAAUGCAAAGAACAUCAACAUCCUUUCAGUGGAAAAUGCUGCAAGGACUGUGCCCCUGUUUGGCAAGUUGCUUUGCUCACAAACCUCAUCAUCCUAGCACAUCAGACAGAACUUCUGUGUGAAAGAAUGAGAAACCGCUGCACUGCAACAACAGACACGGUCUGCGCCCCCUGUCAAGAUGAAUACUUUAGUAGUGAGCACAACCACAACUUCUGCAAGAGUUGUACAAUCUGCAACACUAGGAAGGGAAGUGUGGAAGUGAAGAAGUGUGAGAAGACCUCUGACAGAAUUUGCAUGUGUGUUGCAGGUUACAUGCCAGAUGUCAGAUAUACACUGGGAAGUGAGUGCUCACUAUGUCCUGAAGGCUCUUAUUCCCUAGGGGGAAAUGAAAACUGUCGACCUUGGACCAACUGCAGCCUUCUUGGGAAAAAUACUCUUCGACCAGGGACAAAAACAGGUGAUGCUGUUUGCAGCAAUCAUGUCACACAGCCAGCUACCUCUCAGAGUGUCACACCUGCUGUGAAUCUCUCCACCACUGACCACAAGAAUAAUAAGUCAACUGCAGUGUUCUCACCAUCCAGACCCAGCGUGAUUCCUUUCAUUUGCCCGGAUACAAACAGCCCCACAGAGACUAACUGGGGGUCUUUAUCACUUAUCCUUAUUUGUCUGAUAUUGCUCGUGGUGAGUGGAAUGUCCAUACUCCUGUUGAUUAUCCAAGCAGCCAAAAAAGACACCAAGAAGAGGCCUUGUAGAAACAACCAUCAGAAUGGAAGGAGCGUUCGAAUUCCUAUCCAGGAAGAACAAAUUGACUCCAAUUCUAGUCUCAUCAAAAACUGACUCCACAUUACGUUACUGUUUCCUGCAUUUCUGAGCCGAUCGACUGUAACGAGUAUCUCCAGUGUUUCAGUCUAGUUCCCAAAUGAACUCUCCUCACUUUAGGUGGAGAAUCUCCCCUGAUGAACCUAGCCAGCUUCCUUUGUGCUUCCAUUUUUUCAAGUUAUUUCUUCUUGGUCAAGUUGAGUGAUUAUGUCACCUGUGCCUCCAGAGACAGUUGUCGUUGCUGGUAACUCUCGUGCUGGCUGUGCACCAAAAUAGUACCAGAAUUCUGGUGCUAGCUGUUAAGUGACUGUUGAGAGAUGGCUAUUCAAUGCCACUUCUCUCCUUUCUGCGUUUCUUCAAACAUACCAGUACAUUGAGAAAAUGUCAUGUUAACAUAUUGAGCAAUAUCCCCAUUGUCAGGCAACAAAUGGAAUUACUCAUGAUCACCAGGUAGCUCCAGACCUCCAAGCAUUUGGAAAUCUCCAUGGAGAUCUUGACAUGUGUGGAAAGUAGAAUAUGUAGAUUGCCAGAAGGCAAAGUGAAGGGUAAUUUCUGAUUAGAACAUUAUUAGUGGAAACCGUGGUUCAAAACAGGCGGAAAGGUAGAGUACCACUUGUCUGCACUGUAAACUUUAGAAGUUGCCAUGUAUAAUUAAUGUUUUAUCUAUAAGACCUGUGCAACCAAUACACUGUGUGCUUCCUCUUGGUGGACAUCCUGUUGUGCUGAAUACCUCAGUGUGUCUGUCAUCAGCAAGGCUGCUUCAGUCAAGCUUGGACAUCUCGACAGUAAAAUCGUUUAGGUUAAACUGCUUUUGUGGGACUUGAUUGCUUGCUGUGGAUGUAGGGAGACACCCACAGGCAAGUUUGGUUCCAGACAGUGCUCUGGAUUUGGGGAAAGUCUGUUUAUAUCUUAGGCUUAGGAGCAUGUACAUGGACAUUUAGAGUUUUUCUGCUGAUGAAUGAUAAUUUUGUGAUGAUUUAGAAAAGACUAACAUCUUAGAUGUUCUCUGUUGAUGAGAGGCAAGAGCUGAACUCUUAACACAGUGCUGUCUGGGCCUUCAAGGGUUGCAUUUGAACAAAGAUGUGCAGAGAUGGUGUAACAGUGGAUAGAUGCCUAAACUAUGGUCUGACCAUUCAUCUGGAUGAUCACGUUGUGGAUGCUGUCAAUGGAACCUGCGUUCAGAACUGAAGAAGUAUUCCUGAGUUGGUCUCUGUGCAGUUAAAAUACCUCAUUGUCUGUAUGAAAGGAAUUUUACUUCUGUAAUGUUUUUCCACAAGUUAAUCGGUCUGUAGUUUUGGAAAGCAUUCGCAUUUUUAGAUGGCAAGUUCAAAAUAUAAAGUGUCUGAGAGAAACCUGAAGUGUUAUUGUGAAUAGCUUUUGACGUAAUUUAAGUACUUUGGUGUAAAAGUUCAAGAGGUAAACUUGAAAGUUAUAUAAUUCAGAAGUGUUUUUCACUUCAAAUAUCACUCCUCAGUGGAUAACUCAUUAGCGAUAGGUAUUUUAUAUACACAGUACCAAAGCAUAUGUGAAAAUAUGCAACAGGAAAUGUAUUCAAGAAUACAACUGGUGUCUAGAAG